UAGGGAAUCUUCGGCAAUGGGGGGAACCCUGACCGAGCAACGCCGCGUGAGUGAAGAAGGUUUUCGGAUCGUAAAGCUCUGUUGUUAAGGAAGAACGAGUGUGAGAAUGGAAAGUUCAUACUGUGACGGUACUUAACCAGAAAGGGACGGCUAACUACGUGCCAGCAGCCGCGGUAAUACUUAGGUCCCGAGCGUUGUCCGGAUUUAUUGGGCGUAAAGCGAGCGCAGGCGGUUAGAAAAGUCUGAAGUGAAAGGCAGUGGCUCAACCAUUGUAGGCUUUGGAAACUGUUUAACUUGAGUGCAGAAGGGGAGAGUGGAAUUCCAUGUGUAGCGGUGAAAUGCGUAGAUAUAUGGAGGAACACCGGUGGCGAAAGCGGCUCUCUGGUCUGUAACUGACGCUGAGGCUCGAAAGCGUGGGGAGCGAACAGG
rnacentral:rRNA from 1 species